AGCAGCCGCGGUAAUUCCAGCUCCAAUAGCGUAUAUUAAAGUUGUUGCAGUUAAAAAGCUCGUAGUUGAAUUUCGGGAUCAAUUUAUCGGUCGUGCCUUCGGUAUGCACUGGUAUUAUUGAUUUCUACCUUCUGACGAACUAUGAUGUCAUUAAUUUGGUGUCAUGGGGAAUCGGGACUGUUACUUUGAAAAAUUAGAGUGUUUAAAGCAGGCACACGCUUGAAUACAUUAGCAUGGAAUAAUGAAAUAGGACGUUUGACCCUAUUUUGUUGGUUUUUAGGAUCGACGUAAUGAUUAAUAGGGAUAGUUGGGGGCAUUAGUAUUCAAUUGUCAGAGGUGAAAUUCUUGGAUUUAUUGAAGACUAACUACUGCGAAAGCAUUUGCCAAGGAUGUUUUCAUUAAUCAAGAACGAAAGUUAGGGGAUCGAAGACGAUCAGAUACCGUCGUAGUCUUAACCAUAAACUAUGCCGACUAGGGAUCGGAUGAUGUUAAUUUUUAAUGUACUCAUUCGGCGCCUUAA
rnacentral:rRNA from 1 species